rnacentral:rRNA from 1 species
UACGGAGGGGGCGAGCGUUGUUCGGAGUUACUGGGCGUAAAGCGCACGUAGGCGGUGCGGUAAGUCAGGGGUUAAAGGCUGCAGCUCAACUGCAGUAAGGCCUUUGAUACUAUCGUGCUAGAGUGCCGGAGAGGGUAGCGGAAUUCCCUGUGUAGCGGUGAAAUGCGUAGAUAUAGGGAGGAACACCGGUUGCGAAGGCGGCUACCUGGCCGGUAACUGACGCUGAGGUGCGAGAGCGUGGGGAGCAAACAGG